rnacentral:misc_RNA from 1 species
CACGUAGGGGGCAAGCGUUGUCCGGAUUCAUUGGGCGUAAAGAGCUCGUAGGCGGUUCGGUAAGUCGGGUGUGAAACCUCCAGGCUCAACCUGGAGACGCCACUCGAUACUGCCGUGACUAGAGUCCAGUAGGGGAGCGUGGAAUUCCUGGUGUAGCGGUGAAAUGCGCAGAUAUCAGGAGGAACACCAGCGGCGAAGGCGGCGCUCUGGGCUGGAACUGACGCUGAGGAGCGAAAGCGUGGGGAGCGAACAGG